UCCCUUACCUCACCUUUUUCAAGGCUUCGCCUGUGGAGCAAUCGGGUGGUGGCACUGGCCGGUUUUCGGGAAGUUCUGCUUGGUCUCACACCCAGCCUGCUCCGGUCCCGUCUGCAUAACGGCCCGGCAUCGUUCGCGUCCUGCCUGACUCCGCGACUCAGGUGGAGGCUCCAGGACUGCGGUCUGCAUGGAGAAACUGCUCAGAUUUGGCCAAGAUCACAUUGCUAGGAGGUGGGAAAUUGGAACCCACUAUGGCUGAUUCCAAAAUUAAUACAGUGUUUGUAGCCACUUAUACAAUAAUA